AACGAACGCUGGCGGCAGGCCUAACACAUGCAAGCCGAACGGGACCUUCGGUUCUGGUGGCGCAGGGGUGCGUACGGGGGGGGAACCUGCCUUUAAGUUCGGAAUAUCUCCCCGAAAGGGGUGCUAAAGCCGGAUAAAUACUCCGGACCAAAAAUUUAUGCCUUUUGUAUGGUCCAGAGUUGGGUUGGCUAGUUGGGAGGGUAAAAACGUACCAAGGCGAGGUUCCGUAGCUGGUCUGCAAGGAUGAUCAGCACCACUGGGACGGGGACACGGCCCAGACUCAUACGGGAGGCAGCAGUGGGGAAUAUUGGACAAUGGGCGAAAGCCAGAUCCAGCAAUGCCGCGUUAGUGAUGAAGGCCUGAGGGUUGUAAAGCUCUUUUACCCGGGAUGAUAAUGACAGUACCGAGAGAAUAGGCCCCGGCUAACUCCUU
rnacentral:rRNA from 1 species